rnacentral:rRNA from 1 species
ACUCCUACGGGAGGCAGCAGUGGGGAAUAUUGCACAAUGGGCGCAAGCCUGAUGCAGCCAUGCCGCGUGUAUGAAGAAGGCCUUCGGGUUGUAAAGUACUUUCAGCAGUGAGGAAGGUGGGUAUGUUAGUUAAGUCAUGCAUUCAUUUGACGUUAGCUGCAGAAGAAGCACCGGCUAACUCCGUGCCAGCAGCCGCGGUAAUACGGAGGGUGCGAGCGUUAAUCGGAAUUACUGGGCGUAAAGCGCAUGCAGGUGGUUUGUUAAGUCAGAUGUG